rnacentral:lncRNA from 1 species
UUUGAUGACUUGAUCAUUUUCUGANNNNNNNNNNNNNNNNNNNNNNNCUGGCUGCUUUGUUUACCUAAUCAAGCCUGGGCAAUGGCAGGCACCCCCUCCCCGAGUCUUGCUGCCACCUUGCAGUUUGAUCUCAGACUGCUGUGCUAGCAAUCAGCAAGACUCCGUGGGUGUAGGACCCUCCUAGCCAUGUGCAGGGUAUAAUCUCCUGGUGUGCCGUUUUUUAAGCCCAUUGGAAAAGCGCAGUGUUAGGGUGGGAGUGACCCGAUUUUCCAGGUGCCAUCUGUCACCCCUUUCUUUGACUAGGAAAGGGAACUCCCUGACCCCUUGCACUUCCCAAGUGAGGCAAUGCCUCGCCCUGCUUCAGCUCAUGCAGGAUGCGCGGCACCCACUGUCCUGCACCCACUGUCUGGCACUCCCUAAUGAGAUGAACCCAGUACCUCAGAUGGAAAUGCAGAAAUCACUCGUCUUCUGCAUCGCUCAUGCUGGGAGCUGUACACCAGAGCUGUUGCUAUUCAGCCAUCUUUGAGUGAGUUUCUUAAUCUUGAGUUUUAAUUUGAUUGUGCUGUUGUCUGAGAGACUGUUUGUUAUGAUUUUAAUUCUUUUGAAUUUGCUGAGGGUGAUUUACUUCCAAUUAUGUGAUUAAUUUUAGAGUAAGUG